GACGAUCAGAUACCGUCGUAGUCUUAACUAUAAAUGUUGCAAACCAGGGAUAGGACAGUGUCCAUCUCGACUCCUCCUGGACCUUGGAGAAAUUACGAGUCUAUGGGUUCUGGGGGGAGUAUGGUCGCAAGGCUGAAACUUAAAGGAAUUGACGGAAGGGCACGCAAAGAGUGGAACCUGCGGCUUAAUUUGACUCAACACGGGAAAACUCACCAGGUCCGGAUACACGUAUGAAAGUCAAGCUGAAAGACUUUACUCAAUGAUGUAAGUGGUGGUGCAUGGUCGUUCUUAGUUCGUGGAUUGAUUUGUCUGGUCUAUUCCGAUAACGAGCGAGACCCCGACGUUCCUAAUAGGGGUGGCAGCCAGACCGGUCGCAAGGCCGGUUAGCUCGCCGCCUGAAGUUAUACUUCUUAGACGCAUCAGAGCCGAUAAGGUUCUUGAAAUGGGUUAAUAACAGGUCAGUCAUGCCCUUAGAUGUUCUGGGCCGCACGCGCGUUACAAUGGCAUGUA
rnacentral:rRNA from 1 species